rnacentral:lncRNA from 1 species
CAGGAGGAAGGAACAACUCCAGACGCGCCACCUUAAGAGCUGUAACACUCACCGGGAAGGUCUGUAGCUUCACUCCUGAGCCAGCGAGACCACGAACCCACCAGAAGGGAGAAACUCCGAACACAUUCGAACAUCAGAAGGACCAAACUCCAGACGCGCCACCUUAAGAGCUGUAACACUCACUGCGAGGGUCCGCGGCUUCAUUCUUGAAGUCAGUGAGACCAAGAACCCACCAAUUCCGGACACAGUGGCUGGGAUUACAGGCACGUGCCACCAUGCCUGGCUAGUUUUUGUAUUUUUUGUAGAGACGGGAUUUUGCCAUGUUGCCCAGGCUGGUCUCGAACUCCUGGAGUCAAGUGAUCUGCCUGCCUCAGCCUUCCAAAGUGCUGGGAUUACAGGAAUUUAUUCUCAUUUUACAGAUGAGGAAACUGCAGCACAGAAAGUCUGUUACUUGACCAAAGUUACAUAGGUGAUAAGUGAUAGAAUGGGGAUUUGAACGUAGGCAAUUCUGUCUCAGCCCCAGCUUGUUCUCCCAUUCUAAAGAUCACAUCUUUGACUCAUUUUGUCUGCCUGAUUGCUUAUGGUGAUGCUUGGGGCCACAGGUCCUCACUGCAGACCUCCCAGGGGCAGGAGCCCUGCCCCUGAGCCCUAGACCAGGAGCCUUCCCCCUUCCUCCAAUUUUCAGCCUCUCUGCCCUGGACUCCUCCUUGGGCUGCCACCUAAUGCCAGUCUCCAAACAUUCCAGAUGCUAUCUCUCUGGCUGUGAUGGAGGCUCAACCAAUCAGACACUCUGGCCCAGGACUUUGAAUCAAGACAGAAGAGAGUCCACUUUUGUGGCAUCAGCAUCGAAUCUCCAAGACCAGCUCCUGAUAUGCCUAUUAGUAAGCAACCCAUUUCCAGAAAGUGGCUGGCUCAAACUUUUGACACCCAGGAGAUCAUCCAAACCGUUUUACAUACCACAGAUCACACAGCCACAUGGAGCUGGGAAAUGUGAUCGACUUGAAGAAGAAUGAAUACGGUGAAGAUUGGAAAGAAGACAUGAGCUGAUCAACUUAGUAGGAGUAAGGAAAACCCUUUUUUUUUUUUUUUGAGACAGAGUCUCACUCUGUUACCAGGCUGGAGUGUGAUGGCGCAAUCUCCGCUUACUGCAACCUCCGCCUUCUAGGUUCAAGAGAUUCUCCUGCCUCAGCCUCCCAAGUAGCUGGGAUUACAGGCACACUCCACCAUGCCUGGCUAAUUUCUGUAUUUUUAGGCUGGGGUUUCACCAUGUUGGCCAGGAUGGUUUUGAUCUCCUGACUUCAUGAUCCGCCCGCCUCGGCCUCCCAAAGUGCUGGGAUUACAGGCAUGAGCCACUGUGCCCAGCUGGAAAACAUGUCUUUUAAAUAUCGAAGGAGAAGUGGAUACACACCAAAUCAUUUCUCUUCCCCAUUGUAUCCUAUAGGGAGCCAAAAUACUCACCUUAUAGUAGUGAAAAUCGGAGGAAAUGAUGGACCUGAGGAAAGAUGAGUCUCCAAUAAAGCAGGAUGUGGCUUGUUGUUUCUGAUCUAAUCAGGAGGUUUAGGGGCCGGCUGUGCUGAAAUGAUAUCCAUAAGCCCUAUUUGAGUGGCCCAACUGUAUUUAACCCAACCUGAAUUCACAGAAAAGUUUGUCCUUCUAGAAUCAUAGUACAUGAAGGAGUAAACCUUAAGGGGUAGGGAUGGUUGGAAAAAUUUGUGUGUCAGAUUCCUGAAAGGUUUGAUGAGAUAGGGAGGCUGCAUGUAAAUCUCAAUCUGGUUAUUUACUGGUUGUGUGAACCAGAAAAAAGUGUGCAAAUAAUAACACCUCACAGGAUUGUGGUUUUUUUGGUUGUUGUUGUUUGUUUGUUUUUGUUUUGUUUUGAGACAGGGUCUCCCUUUGUUGUCCAGGCUGGAAUGCAGUGGCACAAUCAGGGCUCACUUGAGUCUUGACCUGCUGGGCUCAGGUGAUUCUCCCACCUCAGCCUCCUGGGUGGCUGGGGCUACAGGUGCACACCACCAUGCCCAACUAAUUUUUUAAAUUUUUUUUUUGUAGAGAUGGGGUUUUGCUAUGUUUCCCAAGCUAUUCUGUAACCCCUGGGCUCAAGUUAUUCUCGACCUUCCAAAGUGUUGGGAUUACAGGUGUGAACCACUAUGCCUGGCCUCAAAGCGUUGUUAAAAGCAUUGAGACACUGUAGGUAAAACACUUAGUGCCAGGCACAUUGUAUGAGCUUAAUACAUGUUAGUUCGUGUUAACACAUAAGCAGUCUGUAGCAUGGGAUGCAAAAACUGAAAUUAUUGCAUGGUUGAACCAUAUAAUGUUGCCAGCAGUCACCUUUGACUUACAAAAAUAGUGAUUUCAUUCUCUUUGUUUCUUCCCUCCUUCCCUCUCUUCCUUCUACCUCUCUCUCUCUCUCUCUCUCUCUUUCUCUCUCUCUCUCAACAGGGUCUUACUCUAUUGCCCAGGCUGGAGUGCACUGGUGUGAUCAUAGCACAUGGCAGCUUCAAACUCCUAGUAGCUAGGACUACAGGCGUGUGCCACCAUGCCCAGCUAAUUUUUAAAUUUGUUGUACAGACAAGGUCUCUCUGCAUUGCCCAGGCUGUUCUAGAACUCCUGUUCAAGCAAUCUUCCUGCCUAGGCUGCCCAAAGUGCUGAGAUUACAGGUGUGAGCCAUGCGCCUGGCCAAUUUCAUAUAUUCCCACUAAACUUUCCUCUUCCUUCCAUAUAUAUAUAAUAUUACAUAUCUUACAUAUGUACAAAAGAUUAUAUAUUCCAUUACAUAUCUUAUAUACAUAUGAAACACAUAUAUAUGCCAUAUAUAUGAUAUGAAAUAUAUAUAGUAACAUAUAUAAACUGGGAGAUAAGGUGAUAAGUUGUAGUACUGUGCCUCACCUGCUCAUUACCCUGUGGUAAGCUCCUUAUGUCUUCAGAGAAUUCCUGGGGCAUGAAUGUGUCUCCUUGUGUAACAAGUGAUCAAUGCUUCUUUAGAAUAAAGAAAAAACCCAAACUAUGAAACAGAACUGGCAUUUUCUAAAAGGACACAAAAGCCAAGGCAAGAACAAAGGAAGCAGUACGGGAAAGUUGGGGUGUGGGGACAACUCUUUCAGAGUGAUAGGAGAGUGUGCCCAGACCUUGGCCCGCCCCGGCCACACUGCUCCCCAGACUACCUGCAUCCAUUCCCACAGUGCGCUCUUUGCUAUCUCCCUUCUAGAAACCAGACUAGGCUGAAAAGCCAGGAUAAAUGGAUAUAGUGCCCCCGAGUCUCUAAUUUCUGGGCACCUCAG